rnacentral:rRNA from 1 species
CUGAACACACCUGAUCUCCUCUGAUCUCGUGAGUUAAGCAG